UACGGAGGGGGCUAGCGUUGUUCGGAAUUACUGGGCGUAAAGCGCACGUAGGCGGAUUGUUAAGUCGGGGGUGAAAUCCCGGGGCUCAACCCCGGAACUGCCUUCGAUACUGGCAAUCUCGAGGUCGAGAGAGGUGAGUGGAAUUCCGAGUGUAGAGGUGAAAUUCGUAGAUAUUCGGAGGAACACCAGUGGCGAAGGCGGCUCACUGGCUCGAUACUGACGCUGAUGUGCGAAAGCGUGGGGAGCAAACAGG
rnacentral:rRNA from 1 species